UGAAAUUGGGGUGAAAGUCAGGGAACGGGCAAUGAGUCCAUGUAUUUGUGUUUUCAGGGAGGUGUUAGGGAAAGGUGGAGGAAGGCGAAGAGAAGGCUAAGGAAGCCUAAGAACUGCGGCUGCAGAGUCACGGAAACACUUCGCUCCGCUCCAGGAUCACUGGCACAGGCCUUUGCCAGGGCGAACUCCGGGCAAGACCCGUGACCCCACCCCAGAAAACUCCCGACUCCCGGGCUGGAGAAGGUAGCCAAGAUCAUUCUCAGUUGCCAUAUGGCAAAGACACAGGAAGCUGCCCUGUGUAGAGACCCACAUGGCAAGGAACUGAGACAUCCUGCCAACAACCACCAGAGUCUGAGGCCUGCUGCCAUCACCACGUGAGUGAGACAUCUUAGAAGUGGAUCCUUCAGCCUAAGUCAAGCCUUCAGAUGAUUGCGUCUUGACUGCAGCCUCAUCAAAGACCUUGAACCAGAACCACCCAACUCAGUUACUCUCAAAUGCUUAACCCAUAGAAACUAUAGCGAUAUUGGUGUUGUGAAUAUUUUCUCCCAGAUUAUGGCUUGCUAUGGCAGUCAGCCCCCAAGAUGGACCCCAUUGAUUCUGGACUCCUGGUUCUUUGCAUAUGUUAUGCUUUUUGAUGCUGCAAGAGAUCUUCAACAAGUUCAUAGAAAUAUGCAUAUUUUGAAAAAACUAUGCAUGGAUUUUAAAAUUUUUCGCCCCCAGAUGAACUCAUACUAACUUGCUAUAACAUGUAUGAGCAGGAUGUAUUUUGAGUCACUAAGAAGGAUAAGACAUCAGUUUGAAAAAAAGCCCCUAUCAGAGUAGCAUGAAUUCUGCUAGAGUUGAAGCAAGAACAAACAUCAAAUUUAUGGGGAAGCUUGGGUAGAACAAUGGUAAAAUCACUGAUGCUUUAUGAAAAAUUUAUUGGGACAAUGCACCAAAGCAAUCAGCAGUUUACAAAUGGGUAAUUCAUUUUAAGAAGGGAGGAGAUUAUGUAAAAGAUGAAGCCUGCAAUGACAGACCUUCACAUCAGUUUGCAAGGAAAAAACUCACCUUGUUCAUAACCUCAUUCAAGAGGCCUAACAAUUAGUAGGAGAAACAAUAGCCAACACCAUAGAAAACUCAAAUCUCAUAGCUUACACAAUCUGACUGAAAAACUAAAGUGGAGCAAACUUUUCACUCAACAGGUGCCAAAACCAUUGUACCCAGAUCAACUGCAAACAAGAACAGAGUUUUAAUGGAAAUUUUAAACAAGUAAGAUGAAAAUCCUGAAGCAUUUCUUUCAAGAAUUGUAACAGGAGAUGAAACAUGGCUUUACCAGUAUAAUCCCGAAGACAAAGUACAAUCAGAGCAAUGGCUACCAAGAGGUGGAAGUGGUCCAGUCAAAGCAAAAGCAGACCUGCCAAGAGCAAAGGUCGUGGGAAUAGUUUUUUGGGAUACUUAUUUUGCUUGUUGACUUUCUGAAGAGCCAAAGAACAAUAAUAUCUGCUUGUUUCAAGAGUGUUUUGAGAAAGUUUGCUAAAGCUUUAGCAGAAAAAUUCCUGGAAAAGCUUCACCAGUCUUUUUCUACCGCAACAAUGCUCCCACUCAUUCUUCUCAUCAAACAAGGGCAAUUUUACAAGACUUUCAAUGAGAAAUCAUUAGGCAUCGACCUUACAGUCCUAAUUUGGCUCUUUCUAACUUCUUUUUGUUUCCUAAUCUUAAAAAAUCUGCAAAGGGCUCCCAUUUUUCGUCAUUUAAUCAUGUAAAAAAGACAUGGUUAAAUUUCCAUGAAUCUCAAUUUUUUUAGGGAUGGAUUAAAUGACUGGUGUCAUCACUUACAACCAUGGUUGACCUCGAUGGAGCUUAUGUUGAGAAAUAAAGUUUAUAUUCUUUAUCUUUUAAUUCAAUUUUUCCAUGAACAUUUUGAAGUGCCUCAUAUUAUAAAUGAUAUUUCAUUGUUAGUGGUUCAUUAAUAGGGUAUUUAAAUACAAUUCUUUUUUAAUAUUAGUCCUGUACACUGAGAUCAUGUUUAAAAACCUAUUAGUUCUAGUAGUAUUUUAUAGAUUUCUUUUGAUUUUCUAUGUAUACAAUCAUGUUUCUCCAAAUAAAGAGUUUUAUUUUUUUCCUUCCA
rnacentral:lncRNA from 1 species